CCCCCUAGACUUUUAGAGUUGGGCUUGGUUUGCGCAGAAUAGGUGGGAGGCGUUGAAAUCGUUCUCCGGGAAGAUUGGAGCCGUCAUUGAGAUACCACUCUUAUAGAGCUAAAAUUCUAAUUGUGAUUCCUUGAAUCAGGACAGGAACUCUUUCUGGUGGGCAGUUUUAUUGGGGCAAUAGCCUCCUAAAGGGUAACGGACGCGCGCAAAGUUCCCCUCAUACUAUACGAAAAUUAGUCUUAAAGCGUAAAGGCAGAAGGGGUCUUAACUGCAAAACCGAAAACUCAAGCAGGAGAAAAUGCUGGCCUUAGUUAUCCGGCGUUCCCGUGUGAAGGGCCCCUCUCUCCGGGGAAAAAGUUUCUUCUGGGGAUAAGGGGAAAAA
rnacentral:rRNA from 1 species